rnacentral:rRNA from 1 species
AUUGAACGCUGGCGGCAGGCCUAACACAUGCAAGUCGAGCGGAUGAAGGGAGCUUGCUCCUGGAUUCAGCGGCGGACGGGUGAGUAAUGCCUAGGAAUCUGCCUGGUAGUGGGGGAUAACGUCCGGAAACGGGCGCUAAUACCGCAUACGUCCUGAGGGAGAAAGUGGGGGAUCUUCGGACCUCACGCUAUCAGAUGAGCCUAGGUCGGAUUAGCUAGUUGGUGGGGUAAAGGCCUACCAAGGCGACGAUCCGUAACUGGCCUGAGAGGAUGAUCAGUCACACUGGAACUGAGACACGGUCCAGACUCCUACGGGAGGCAGCAGUGGGGAAUAUUGGACAAUGGGCGAAAGCCUGAUCCAGCCAUGCCGCGUGUGUGAAGAAAGUCUUCGGAUUGUAAAGCACUUUAAGUUGGGAGGAAGGGCAGUAAGUUAAUACCUUGCUGUUUUGACGUUACCAACAGAAUAAGCACCGGCUAACUUCGUG